AAUAUAUAUGUAUAAUGUUCAAAUUUGCAGUCGGUUUGUAAAGUGAACGCCAAUUUUAAAGUUUAAUUACACAAAGUCGGAAUGUUUCCGGCGUGACCACCGGGUGUCAGUGUUGUUCUUCCCCAGAGAGAACUCGUCCCUUCCCCCACACAGAUGCGUCAGCUGAACUUCUGCUCUCACUCACUGCAACGAUACCUGAAGCGGGAGUUUACUAUUCACCUCACGAUUCAUGAACGGUUUUUCAUCGACUUAUCUUUGAUUUAUUUGAAGGAAAAGACCCUGAUGGAUAAAAGAUGGAUAUUUUUUUCCUGGAGAAGCUAAAACAAAGUAACUUUGAGGUUCUGAUACCAGCUUUUACAACGUUAUUUACAGAGUUCACCAGACUUCUCUGUGGUAUUUCCUGACCAUGCCGAAAAGCUAUUUGAAACUUGGGCAUUGCAUUUUCCAGACAGAAUCCUGCAACUUCCCAGCCAAGAACCAGGAGCAUCAACAAAUCACCUCCAGAACCCCAUGAUGAUAUUCCAACUCCUGUCUACAAAAGUGGGAAGAAAAUCUUAAGUCUAUGUUGGGACCAACAUGGUUGCAUUCUUCUGAGAGGCUGAUGUGACAAAACCAUUCCCAUUUGUCCUUGGAUUGGAA